AGAAGGUUUGCGACUCAUAAAACCGCUCUGUGUUUGCGAUCAAAAAGGCGAUAGGGUUUAGGUCGCCGGCUUUGCCGGUGGCUCUGUACGUUGAUGUCAUUUGUGAUGGUGAGAAGGUCUCUAUUCCACUCUUGAUUAUUUCUUUUGAUGAAAGAGUUUUCUCCAAUUAAGGAGAUGUUUCAUUUAUGGUUCUUUUUGGGAGUAUUUCAAUGUUUUGAUUUCACCCAAGUUACAUGGUCUUAUGAUCAACGGAUUUGGGAUCCGGGCAUAUCAUAUUCAUGGAGAAAUAAUGAAUCAGUGCAAGAGGAGCCACCAUGGUGUGUUACAGUCGGGGAGAUUGAAGAUGAUGGACAAUCCCAGGUUCGGUUUCUGUUGGAAAAAUCAGUAUAUUGGGUUUUUCGAAAUCAAAAUUGUGGAUUGGUUAUGGUGAUGCAACCGCAAUGGAAUAUGAUACCAUGGUUUCAGGCUGAAGAAAUCUAUGGUUAGAUCUAAAUUGGGAGUUGGCCAAUGUUAUACAACAAAAGGAAUUGAUGUUGACAAUGUUUAUGUUACGAUAUGUGGAUUGGAGUUUCAUCUCAGAGAUGAUAGCCAAAUGUGAAAAUCGUACAAGGUCGAACGUGAAUGUGGAGAAGACAACCGACAAACUUGAUAUUUUGUAUGAAACUUGGAUAUCAAAAGAAGCUUCUUGUACAAAAACGUCUUCAAUUGUUAUUUUCUAUGAGUUGUUUUUGCAUAAUAUUUAUGUAUCUCAAUGUAUCUUUUAUUAUAGUUUGUACUUUUUAUGUAAUGUUUACGCUAGA